rnacentral:rRNA from 1 species
UACGAAGGGUGCAAGCGUUGUUCGGAAUUACUGGGCGUAAAGAGUGUGUAGGCGGUGCUCUAAGUUCGGUGUGAAAUCUCCCGGCUCAACUGGGAGGGUGCGCCGGAAACUGGAGUGCUGGAGCGCGGGAGAGGAAAGCGGAAUUCCUGGUGUAGCGGUGAAAUGCGUAGAUAUCAGGAGGAACACCGGCGGUGUAGACGGCUUUCUGGACCGUAGCUGACGCUGAGACACGAAAGCGUGGGUAGCAAACAGG